GUUAAAUAAGUAAACACUCCGUAGAUAGUAGGUGCUUAGGCGUAACGGGAAACCAACCUACCGAGGAUUCCAAUAUAUGAUCGUGUAUAUGGUCUCUUCGUUCUACGGAGAGAUCUUUAGUUUUUAAU
rfam:Clostridium pasteurianum BC1, complete genome.